rnacentral:rRNA from 1 species
UACGGAGGGGGCUAGCGUUGUUCGGAAUUACUGGGCGUAAAGCGCACGUAGGCGGCUUUCUAAGUCGGGGGUGAAAUCCUGGAGCUCAACUCCAGAACUGCCUUCGAUACUGGAAGUCUUGAGUAUGGGAGAGGUGAGUGGAACUGCGAGUGUAGAGGUGAAAUUCGUAGAUAUUCGCAAGAACACCAGUGGCGAAGGCGGCUCACUGGCCCAUUACUGACGCUGAGGCACGAAAGCGUGGGGAGCAAACAGG